AUCUUGGGAACAACAACACAUUCCUUGAAUUAAAAGUGCACUCCAUCGUUGCUAGGCAACAUAAAAGUACAAGUUUUUAGAGACCGUUUUUAGACUGUGCUACAGCUAUUCUUAGACUGUGUCUAUUCUCUGUGUGUUUUACAAUGGCUUCAAACAGAAUUCAUAAGCAAGGAAUGAUCUGUUCACAUCAACAGGAAGGUCUGUUCUGCAGCAGCGGGUGAUGAAGGUGGGGACCCAAGAAGCUUGGAGCCAUUUAUUCUCACGGCUGUGUUUUUGCUCUGAGAGAAUCCAAGAGUGCCACAGAAACAUCAAACAGAAAGCCUCUGAUGGGAUAUCAAGUUUUUUAACCCAAGACUGUGAUAAAUCACUGCAGAGAGACUGUCCCACUGUCAGACACAUGACAGAACCGAUGUGGCCUGAGAGUUUGCCUGUUGCCUGCAUCCUGCACAAAGAGACACCCACACUUAGGAGAUGAAGCAAAGAGUCACGGAUGUCCCACACCUUGAUGUAUGAGGUGGAGACGCUGAAGACCAGACCAGAAGAGGGACAAUAUUUUACCGACACCACGUUGUUUGGGUGGCCUUUGAGGGUGGCGAUCUCCUGACCUGUGACUAGAUUCCACAUCUUACAGGUGCGAUCUGAAGACGAAAACAGUUGGAUUAGGAUCCAAGGUUUUCUUCUAAAUCUACAAUACAAUUCACUUUCUGUCUGCACACCCACUCUUCUGUGACAUUUCAUUCAGCUCUUCAUUGUACGGCUAGAAUAAAACAGAAUAACUUUG